rnacentral:rRNA from 1 species
GACGAACGCUGGCGGCGUGCUUAACACAUGCAAGUCGAACGGAAAGGCCCUGCUUUUGUGGGGUGCUCGAGUGGCGAACGGGUGAGUAACACGUGAGUAACCUGCCCUUGACUUUGGGAUAACUUCAGGAAACUGGGGCUAAUACCGGAUAGGAGCUCCUGCUGCAUGGUGGGGGUUGGAAAGUUUCGGCGGUUGGGGAUGGACUCGCGGCUUAUCAGCUUGUUGGUGGGGUAGUGGCUUACCAAGGCUUUGACGGGUAGCCGGCCUGAGAGGGUGACCGGCCACAUUGGGACUGAGAGACGGCCCAGACUGCUACGGGAGGCAGCAGUGGGGAGUAUUGCGCAAUGGGCGGAAGCCUGAUGCAGCAACGCCGCGUGCGGGAUGACGGCCUUCGAGGUGUGAACCGCUUUCGCCGGUGACGAAGCGUGAGUGACGGUAAUGGGUAAAGAAGCACCGGCUAACUACGUG